GGGAAUGGGUGGGAUUUGGGGUCUCUCCAGCCCACACCAGUGUGUGAUUUGAACUUCUGGAUUUGUGAUGUGCAUUGUGUUUGAAUUGGUUGUUGAGUGCAAGAGUAACACUGUAAAAACAGAGUCUGAAAUAGGUUUUGUUUAAGCCAGGUUCAGAUUUCAAACUCAUCCUUGCCAGAGGGGGGUGACUGCCACAGGAAUUUCAUUCAUUUCUGUGUCAGCUGGGGACACAGCUCAGGGCUGGUUGUGGGGGUGACACAGGGUGACCUUGAAGGGCUCAUCCAGCCCUGAUGAUUCUGUGAACUACAGACAUGGAAAAUGUGUUAUUUAUCUUAGAUCAACUGUCAUCAGGUGUGACUUGUGUGACAUUUAAGCACUGCUCUGGCAGGGUUUGUUUGCAUUGCUCAUUUGUGGUGCAGUAAUGGGCUGGAAUCUUUGCUAUUCUUGUCUCAAUACCUACAGUUGUGUAAGAAUAAAUCAUAACAGUAAUGGACUUUUCAUUGAUACUUUACACGAUUUUAGGGUUUCUUUUAUUCAGUUCCAAGAAAGGACAGCAACUGGGGUUUUGUCACUUGUGAAUAAUGCUGAUUAAUGAUACUUAAUUAUAUUUAAUUAUAUGUAAUAUCUCUAUUACCUUCAGAGGUGCUUCUGAUUUAUCUCUGUUUAUCAAUCCCCACGCCCUUGUUAUUCCCACAGUGCUGCUGGAGCACUGCUUAGAGAAAUUUGGGGUUGACAGUCUCAGGGAGAGUUCAUGCCCUGAGUCCUGGGCAGCACCAGCUCAGUCAUGCACAAGAAAUGUUGGUGUCACAAGAACUUACUGGAAGUCACUGGUGCCAGUAAUUUGUUUUGUUGCAUAAGGAGGCAGGGGAGGCAUCAGGAUUUAAAUUAAUUUAAUUUGGCUUUGUUCUACAUAAGCACCUCAGGCAAGGCAGAGGCUGCAUUUGAAUUUUGGAUGAGUGAGAAGUGCUGGAGCAAACACUGCAAUGUUUGGUUCUGAUUCCUCCCCCAGUUUCUGGAAUGAUCCCAAAGCCCCGAAACGCAAGGAUCACUUCAGUCAAUCUUCACAGCACCUUGCAGUGGGAUGCACCAAGGUUCCCUGAAGGGAACAUCACCUACACUGUCCGAUCCAAGAGCAUCAACAUCCCCGGGGACAGCUACGACACGCUGGGGACGCGGCUGAGGCUGCCCGAGUGCGACGUGUCCUCUCUGUCCGUGUACGGUCACUACGUCCUGCAGCUGCGCGCCGAGGCGGGACGGCUGCGCUCCCCCUGGCUCACCCUCCGCUUCAAACCCAUGGAUGACACCACCGUUGGCCCCCCUGAGGUGAGGCUGAAGUCGGAGUCCGGGGCUCUUCACGUGGAUUUCUCGGGGCCCUUUGCAGGGCACGGGCAGGACAGGUGGCCCCUGAGGCACUACUAUGGCUCCUGGAAUUACAGGAUCUUCUACUGGAAGAAAGGCAGCACAGACACAGACCUGGCCUCUGCUUCCAGGGUUGCUCAGGUGGACACCAAACACAACUCUGAGAUCCUCUCCCAGCUGGAGCCAUGGACAGUUUAUUGUGUCCGAGUGCAGGCGGUGAUUCCCGAGUGGAACAAGACAGGGGAGCUGAGCAAGGAGCUCUGUGAGCAGACAACCCACAAUGGUGUAACCCCUGUGUGGGUAAUUGUGACUAUCCUGGUGGGAUCAAUGCUUGUUGUGGCCACAGCUGUCACUGCUUGUUUCUUCUCCAGUUUUUAUCUCUACAGACUCACCAAACACGUUUUCUGCCCUUCCUAUGUUUUCCCAGAACACUUGAAAGAGCGAAGUCCUGUCAUGAGUGCAAUCAGGAGCUGAACUUCAGGAAAGUGUCUGAGGAAGGAACCUGGGCUGGAUCAGCUCUACCAGAGCAGCCUGGGCUGUGGGAGGUGUCCCUGGCCAUGGCAGGGGCAGGAUGGGAUGAGCUUUGGAGUCCCAUCCAACCCAAACCAUUCUGGGAAUCUGUGAUCCUAUGGAGUCUGAAAAUUGGGGAGCGGUGACAGCAGCCAUUGCUGAUGGGCACCCACUGUCCCUGUCACACACCCAGAGGACAAGGAGGCUGCAGCAGAAUCCCUUCCCAGAAACGAGGAUGUACAAAAUGCUCCUGCACCAACCUGUGCUCUCCUGAGCUCCUGCAGUUCCUCUGGGGCUUUCAUUUUGACUCACUCAGAGCUCUGCACCCCCAGGUUUGCAGCUGACUUUGGCUCCUGCUUUAGUUUUUGAGCAAACCUCCCAGUGCUCUGCAGCCUUUCCCUCCACUUCCAAACGAAGAACUCCUGGUUUAUGACAAGCUGAUU